UAACCGAGAACUACUAUUUUCGG
rnacentral:miRNA from 1 species